rnacentral:rRNA from 1 species
AGAUAUUAAGGGUAUAUGGUGGAUGUUUUGGCGUUUGGAAGCGAUGAAGGACGUAGUAGACUGCGAUAAGCCUCGGCAAGUUGUCAACAAACGUUGAGCCGGGGAUUUCCGAAUAGGGCAACCGACUAUGCUGGAGGCAUAGUAUCCUUAUCUGAAAAAAUAGGAUAAGGAGGCGAACGGGGCGAAUUGAAACAUCUUAGUAACCUCAGGAAGAGAAAGAAAUUUCGAUUACCUAAGUAGCGGCGAGCGAAAGGGUAAGAGCCUAAACUGAAUGUACGUGAUAGGUGCUGGCCGUUGUGCAUUCGGGGUAGUGGGAGUUAGUGUUGUGGGUCAGUGACCACAGUAAGAGUUACCAAGGUUAUGUUUAGAUGAAGUGCUUGGAAAGGUACACCACAGAGGGUGAAAGUCCCGUAAUCGAAAAGCAUGGCUCUCUUAUGCUAACCACCCGAGUAGUACCGGACACGUGAAACCCGGUGUGAAUCAGGGAGGACCACCUCCUAAGGCUAAAUAUUCCCAGACGACCGAUAGUGAAGAAGUAAGGCGACUGAAAAAUGAAAAGCACCCCGUUGAGGGGAGUGAAAUAGAACCUGAAACCAUAUACUUACAAGC